CCUACGGGAGGCAGCAGUGGGGAAUAUUGCACAAUGGAGGAAACUCUGAUGCAGCGACGCCGCGUGAGCGAAGAAGGAAUUCGUUUCGUAAAGCUCUGUCCUAUGGGAAGAUAAUGACGGUACCAUAGGAGGAAGCCCCGGCUAACUACGUGCCAGCAGCCGCGGUAAU
rnacentral:rRNA from 1 species